rnacentral:snRNA from 1 species
UUUACAGUCGUUUUUAAAG